rfam:Gossypium hirsutum cultivar TM-1 chromosome 10, whole genome shotgun sequence
AAUUAAAAUUUAUAUCCAUUUCUACUGUUAAAAACUAGUGUAGCUAACAAAGUAGCCAGACAGUUAUACAUGGCGUGUCACGUGUACCUUAUGCCGAUGUACAAGGAUCAAUUUUUAACAAUAAAAAUUAAUGAAAUUUUUAACA